UCAGCAGGAUGUGGGUGGGGCCAGAUAAGAGAAUAAAAGCAGGCUGCCCGAGCCAGCAUUGACAACUCGCGGGGAUUGUUUUCCACACCGUGGAAGCUUUGUUCUUUUCGUUUUUUGCAAUAAAUCUUGUUGCUGCUCGCUUUUUGGGUCCACAUUGCUUUUAUGAGCUGUACCACUCACCGUGAAGAUCUGCAGCUUCACUUCAGAGCCUAGCGAGACCACAAGCUCACUGAGAGGAACAAACAACUCCAGACGCGCUGUCUUAAGAGCUAUAACACUCACCGCGAAGGUGUGCAGUUUCACUCCUGAGCUAGUGAGACUACGAAGCCACUGGAACGAAGAAACUCCAACCACGUUUGAACAUCAGAAGGGGCAGACUCCAGACGCUUCAUCUUAAGAGCUGUAACACUCACUGUGAAGGUCUGCAGCUUCACUCCUGAGCCAGCGAGACCACGAACCGAUCUGAACAUCAGAAGGGACAGACUCCAGAUGCCCCACCUUAAGAGCUGUAAUACUCACUGCAAGGGUCUGCAGCUUCAUUCUUGAAGUCAGACCAAGAACCCAGCAAUUCCCAACACACAGGGACCAGCUUCUUUCCUAACUCACUUAGGCUCUUCGUGCUGCUCUGGCAACUAACACCCUUGGCUGCAGGGGCUUGGACACUACCCUUAGUCACUGACAAUUGUGUGAAGGCUGCUGUCGUUAACUUCACUUGAUCACCUUAGGCUCCUGUGAAGUGGUGAGCAAUUCAAACAAAUUCCUGUCGUCAAAUCAUGAUAUACAUCUUUCCACACCAAUAGACCUUGUUUUCCGAUGUAGCAUUAUUUUUCAUAGUUGGCGAAUAUACAGUUAUGGAUUCAUAACAGCAAGAUGGAGAAAUUGCACUGCAGAGAAAUCUUUAAAAGCAAUUACCUAAUACUGCAGAUUGCUGAACUGUACCCACACCCAAGACUGAGCAUUGGAUCAAUCCAGAAUAUACAUCAGGUGUUCUGCAAUGUCUGCCUAAAACCAUGACUCUGCCUCCUCCAGCUGUUGCUACAUCUCACUAUGGGUUUCCUGUGACAUUUUGAGCAAGUAUGCCUCUGUGACUGGGGUUCUUACACUCCAGAAUGGAUGAGAAGCACCGUAAGUGGCUUUUAAAAUGAAUAUUCCCUGGCCCUUCAGUCGCUCUAUAGGUCAAGAAUCUGAAUUCUCAACCUGUCUAGAAGGUUCUGGUUUUAAUGGUCUGUGGGCUGCACAUUGAGAAACCUGUUCAGCGAGUGCAACAAAGGUUCCACAUGUGAGAAAGGAAGCAUCAGGUCUCUUGAGCCUGUUCUUUAAUCUGUAGGCUGCACCUUCUCUUUAAAUUCUGCUAAUAACACCAUGCGAGAAAACACCCGAGCUUGAAAAGCCCAUGUUCCAACAUAACUGUCCUUCACCACUCUGGAAAAUUAAUGGUUUGUUUCGAUUAUCCCUUUGUUAAACUCCAAAGUCAAAGAGCUCUGAAAGGCAUACGGUUAUUUUAAGUUUCAGGUGAUUUCUGUUGCCAAAUAUUUUAAAAAUUUAAAAUUGCUACGUGACCUCUUAGUAGUACUAUUAGAUUUCCUGACAAUAAAAAUAAGUCUUUUGGUUUCACCAUUUAUAGUUAGUACAGCUAAUAUUAAGUAUAAUUUUAAAAGCCUUUUAUUUUCUCAGAAAGAAAAAAUAAUCAAAAUCUGCUCAGUGUGGUAUUGAAUAAUUAAAAACAAAAGAACAGUAUCUUCACAUUAGUGUUUAAUAUUAAUUGCUUUUUUACCCUUGACACUGGUGCUAAUUAAAUUUUCAUUUUAUUUUCCAUGACUUGUUUAAACAGUUUUUGCAAAUUAUUGCUAAUCAGCCUAAUAAAACUGAAUCACC
rnacentral:lncRNA from 1 species